GAGAGUGUGGCUUAGAGGUAGAGUGCUUGCCUAGCAUGCAUGAAGCCCUGGGUUCAAUUCCUCAGUACUCACA
rnacentral:tRNA from 1 species